rnacentral:rRNA from 1 species
AUUACCAGAAAGUCACGGCUAACUACGUGCCAGCAGCCGCGGUAAUACGUAGGCGGCAAGCGUUAUCCGGAUUUAUUGGGCGUAAAGAGAGUGCAGGCGGUUUUCUAAGUCUGAUGUGAAAGCCUUCGGCUUAACCGGAGAAGUGCAUCGGAAACUGGAUAACUUGAGUGCAGAAGAGGGUAGUGGAACUCCAUGUGUAGCGGUGGAAUGCGUAGAUAUAUGGAAGAACACCAGUGGCGAAGGCGGCUACCUGGUCUGCAACUGACGCUGAGACUCGAAAGCAUGGGUAGCGAACAGGAUUAGAUACCCUGGUAG